rnacentral:tRNA from 1 species
AAAUAGCUGUUUUACAAUGUUGUCAAUGUUUACCGAAGAAUUUCAGGGAGCGGUUAUGC